AUUGAACGCUGGCGGCAUGCCUUACACAUGCAAGUCGAACGGUAACAGGCCGCAAGGUGCUGACGAGUGGCGAACGGGUGAGUAAUGCAUCGGAACGUGCCCAGUCGUGGGGGAUAACUGCUCGAAAGAGCAGCUAAUACCGCAUACGACCUGAGGGUGAAAGCGGGGGACCGAAAGGCCUCGCGCGAUUGGAGCGGCCGAUGUCAGAUUAGGUAGUUGGUGGGGUAAAGGCCUACCAAGCCGACGAUCUGUAGUUGGUCUGAGAGGGCGACCAGCCACACUGGGACUGGGACACGGCCCAGACUCCUACGGGAGGCAGCAGUGGGGAAUUUUGGACAAUGGGGCAACCCUGAUCCAGCAAUGCCGCGUGCAGGAAGAAGGCCUUCGGGUUGUAAACUGCUUUUGUCAGGGAAGAAAUCCUGUGGGUUAAUACCUCGUGGGGAUGACGGUACCUGAAGAAUAAGCACCGGCUAACUACGUGCCAGCAGCCGCGGUAAUAC
rnacentral:rRNA from 1 species